rnacentral:rRNA from 1 species
AUUGAACGCUGGCGGCAGGCCUAACACAUGCAAGUCGAACGAGUGGCGGACGGGUGAGUAAUGUCUGGGAAACUGCCUGAUGGCGGGGGUUAACUACUGGAAACGGUAGCUAAUAACGCAUACCAUCGGAUGUGCCCGGAUGGGAUUAGCUAUUAGGUGGGGUAACGGCUCACCUAGGAGACGAUCCCUAGCUGGUCUGAGAGUAUGACCAGCCACACUGGAACUGAUAAACGGUGCAGACUCCUACGGUAGGCAGCGGUGGGGAAUAUUGCACAAGGGGCGCAAGCCUGAUGCAGCCAUGCCGCGUGUAUGAAGAAGGCCUUCGGGUUGUAAAGUACUUUCAGCGGGGAGGCGUUACCCGCAGAAGAAGCACCGGCUAACUCCGUGCCAGCAGCCGCGGUAAUUC